UUGGAGGGCAAGUCUGGUGCCAGCAGCCGCGGUAAUUCCAGCUCCAAUAGCGUAUAUUAAAGUUGUUGCAGUUAAAAAGCUCAUAGUUGAAUUUCGGGAUUGACACAUCGGUCGUGCCUUAAGGGGUAUGAACUGGUGUAGUCAGUUUCUCACCUUCUGGAGAACCGCGAUGUCCUUAAUUGGGUGCCGCGAGGAACCAGGACCUUUACUUUGAAAAAAUUAGAGUGUUUAAAGCAGGCAUUUUGCUUGAAUACAUUAGCAUGGAAUAAUAAAAUAGGACGGAUGGUUCUAUUUUGUUGGUUUCUAGGAUCACCGUAAUGAUUAAUAGGGAUAGUUGGGGGCAUUAGUAUUCAAUUGUCAGAGGUGAAAUUCUUGGAUUUAUUGAAGACUAACUACUGCGAAAGCAUUUGCCAAGGAUGUUUUCAUUAAUCAAGAACGAAAGUUAGGGGAUCGAAGACGAUCAGAUACCGUCGUAGUCUUAACCAUAAACUAUGCCGACUAGGAAUCAGACGAUGUUAAUUUUUUAAUGACUCGUUUGGCACCUUACGGGAAACCAAAGUGUUUGGGUUC
rnacentral:rRNA from 1 species